AUUGAACGCUGGCGGCAUGCUUUACACAUGCAAGUCGAGCGGCAGCGCGGGGGCAACCCUGGCGGCGAGCGGCGAACGGGUGAGUAAUGCAUCGGAACGUAUCCUCGAGUGGGGGAUAACCCAGCGAAAGUUGGGCUAAUACCGCAUGAGCUCUGAGGAGGAAAGCGGGGGACCUGCGAGGGCCUCGCGCUGGAGGAGCGGCCGAUGUCCGAUUAGCUAGUUGGUGGGGUAAAGGCUUACCAAGGCGACGAUUGGUAGCUGGUCUGAGAGGAUGAUCAGCCAACCUGGGACUGGGACACGGCCCAGACCCCUACGGGAGGGAGCAGGGGGGAAUUUUGGGCAAUGGGGGCAACCCUGAUCCAGCCAUGCCGCGUGAGUUAAGAAGGCCUUCGGGUUGUAAAGCUCUUUCGGACGGAACGAAAUGGGCGGGACUAAUACUCCGUUCUGAUGACGGUACCGUAAGAAGAAGCACCGGCUAACUACGUG
rnacentral:rRNA from 1 species